UUGAACAUUCUCAAGAUGUGCCUCCUCUCUGCGAUGACCGUCGUCUUUUUAUUGGAAGCAGUCGAACAUUUCUGCGUGCGGGGAAAAUGAUGUCUGACAUGAAAUACAAAAUGAAAUAGGAGAGAAAACACAAAAAGGGCCGGCGGGUGUUCAUCUCAGCAGACCAACCUUUGACAAACAACAUCACAGUCCAGAGUCAUCGCUGAAAAAUGAGAAUUAACUCUGACUAAACAGUUAAUACUGCGCUUUGAGUAAACAUACAGUAUAAUCCUCUCUCUCCCUCUCUUCUAUUUGAUAUUUGAAAGUCUCCGUUUUUAAACCUCUUGCUGUAUAUUCUGCUUUCACACUCUAUAUCCUCUAAACACUGAUGCAACGCUGAUUUCCUUCUGCACAUCAAAGCUGUUUAUCUCUCCAACUCUUUUUAUCGCCGCGCGGCGUGCUGACUGCCGUGGUUUCUUUUUGGGAUCUGCUCAUUGUGCCAGUGGGCUGGUAUAGUUCGCACAUCUUAGUCAUUCACUGGGGUCUGGUGUGUCAGAAUGAAUGCUUCAUGCAUGAUCCACCUGUCAAACAGAUACAGUGAUCAGCUCAACCUCCGCGCAUGU